rnacentral:lncRNA from 1 species
CUGUUAAUUGGAAAUCACUAAAAUCAGCCCAUAUUCAAGGUGAGGGGAAUUAGGUUCUACUUCUUGAAGGAAAAUUUUGGGAAUAUCUUUUUAAACUACCACACUGGCUGUCUUUAGAAAUUGAAGAAGGGGCCUCAGAAAAUGAUGUUUCUGCUUUCCUUUGCCCUGUCUUGAUGAUCAAAGAGGGUGUUAGGAGCCCAGCUGAACCGGAAGUAAAAUGGCCUGUGACUCAGAACCAGUCCUGAGGACUCUCUGGUGUCCAGACCAACUUUCUUGAUCAUCUCGUUGCCAUUAUUUUUUUGGCUGGAUGUGGCAAGCAUUGUUCUGAGGUCAGUCUAUGGUUGAGUCUGUCUGGAUCACAUUUUCGGGUGGUGCAUCACACAUCAUGUCUGCUCCCUGGCUCCGACCAACAAGACUUUAAAGAGAUUUUUUAAAAGGCUCAGAAAGUUUCUUGGAUAUCAAACAGCUCUUAUAAAAAUAACAUUUUUAUGACUUAAAAUGUAAAUGAAUCAGAAACAUAUGGAUUAAAUUUCCUUUGAAAUACCCAUGGGUUUAAAAACUGGAGGGAAGAGUGCUUGCAAAAUGAGUUAAAUUGAGUUUUGCCAAAAAUAAAAUGCUUGAAAAAUUGUUGGGGAUGUUUUGC